CGCUGGCGGCGUGCUUAACACAUGCAAGUCGAACGAUGAAGCCUAGCUUGCUAGGUGGAUUAGUGGCGAACGGGUGAGUAAUACGUGAGUAACCUACCUUUAACUCUGGGAUAAGCCCGGGAAACUGGGUCUAAUACCGGAUACGACCAAUCUCCGCAUGGGGUGUUGGUGGAAAGCGUUAUGUAGUGGUUAUAGAUGGGCUCACGGCCUAUCAGCUUGUUGGUGAGGUAACGGCUCACCAAGGCGACGACGGGUAGCCGGCCUGAGAGGGUGACCGGCCACACUGGGACUGAGACACGGCCCAGACUCCUACGGGAGGCAGCAGUGGGGAAUAUUGCACAAUGGGCGCAAGCCUGAUGCAGCGACGCCGCGUGAGGGAUGACGGCCUUCGGGUUGUAAACCUCUGUUAGCAGGGAAGAAGAGAGAUUGACGGUACCUGCAGAGAAAGCGCCGGCUAACUACGUGCCAGCAGCCGCGGUAAUACGUAGGGCGCGAGCGUUGUCCGGAAUUAUUGGGCGUAAAGAGCUUGUAGGCGGUUUGUCGCGUCUGCUGUGAAAGGCCCGGGGCUUAACCCCGUGUAUUGCAGUGGGUACGGGCAGACUAGAGUGCAGUAGGGGAGACUGGAAUUCCUGGUGUAGCGGUGGAAUGCGCAGAUAUCAGGAGGAACACCGAUGGCGAAGGCAGGUCUCUGGGCUGUAACUGACGCUGAGAAGCGAAAGCAUGGGGAGCGAACAGGAUUAGAUACCCUGGUAGUCCAUGCCGUAAACGUUGGGCACUAGGUGUGGGGGACAUUCCACGUUUUCCGCGCCGUAGCUAACGCAUUAAGUGCCCCGCCUGGGGAGUACGGCCGCAAGGCUAAAACUCAAAGAAAUUGACGGGGGCCCGCACAAGCGGCGGAGCAUGCGGAUUAAUUCGAUGCAACGCGAAGAACCUUACCAAGGCUUGACAUAUACUGGACCGCAUCAGAGAUGGUGUUUCCCUUCGGGGCUGGUAUACAGGUGGUGCAUGGUUGUCGUCAGCUCGUGUCGUGAGAUGUUGGGUUAAGUCCCGCAACGAGCGCAACCCUCGUUCUAUGUUGCCAGCACGUUAUGGUGGGGACUCAUAGGAGACUGCCGGGGUCAACUCGGAGGAAGGUGGGGAUGACGUCAAAUCAUCAUGCCCCUUAUGUCUUGGGCUUCACGCAUGCUACAAUGGCCGGUACAGAGGGUUGCGAUACUGUGAGGUGGAGCUAAUCCCUAAAAGCCGGUCUCAGUUCGGAUUGGGGUCUGCAACUCGACCCCAUGAAGUCGGAGUCGCUAGUAAUCGCAGAUCAGCAACGCUGCGGUGAAUAAGUUCCCGGGCCU
rnacentral:rRNA from 1 species